ensembl:lncRNA
AUUCAAGCUAACCUAUAUCCCCAUUUUCAAACUAAAAGAGGGUUUCCUGGUUCUUUUGUUGCUUUAAUUCCUGGUGUGCACGAUGCGAGGCCAUCGUACCAUAAAAGGGCAAAGAGGCGCCAAAAGAGCCAUGAUUAAUGAGCAACAUUCUCCUUUACCUUCGGAUCCACCUGCGGGAGCUGCUAUAUUUGAGCUGCGGGGACCUGCUGAGGCAGCAGCGCAGACUGCUCUGUCCAAUUCAGCCUUAACAAACACGGAGAAGGAGCGUAAGUUACGUGGACAAUCUGUCUUUUAUUCGUCUCAAGUCUAUUUAUUGUCGGCAGGCGGUGCGUCUCGUUUUCCUACAGAGGACAAAGGAUGUUUUGUAUAAAACCUAACAAGGUUAUUUUGGUAACUACAGCCAAAAUGAAUUCCUCCAUCGACAGAUGUGCAUCUCCAUGUGCCGAUAAAGGGACGGAGCCGAUGGAGGGAUUGACAGAAUGAUGGUGGAAGAGAAGGAGGGGAACAAGAAGAGAGGUGACAUCAUGUGCUCAGCCUGCUCCCACUCAAGUCGUACGCCAAGCAGACAAAGGAGUCACAUCGAAACCAAGUCAGGCACAGGAUAGCCAGCUCCCACUAAUCUGAUGUGGUUACAGAUCUUUCUGAAGUUUGCAAAUUUCUAAAGGCAACUACAGCCACCUCACUGCCUCCCUUUUAAGAACUCUAUCAGUUGUAGUCCCUGCAACAAGACAGUACGGCUAUGUCCCAGCCUCUUAUUAUUUGCUAUUUG